rnacentral:rRNA from 1 species
GUGGUAAUGCCGGAUGCUCCAGUUGAUCGCAUGGUCUUCUGGGAAAGCUUUCGCGGUAUGGGAUGGGGUCGCGUCCUAUCAGCUUGACGGCGGGGUAACGGCCCACCGUGGCUUCGACGGGUAGCCGGCCUGAGAGGGCGACCGGCCACAUUGGGACUGAGAUACGGCCCAGACUCCUACGGGAGGCAGCAGUGGGGAAUAUUGCACAAUGGGCGCAAGCCUGAUGCAGCGACGCCGCGUGAGGGAUGGAGGCCUUCGGGUUGUAAACCUCUUUUAUCGGGGAGCAAGCGAGAGUGAGUUUACCCGUUGAAUAAGCACCGGCUAACUACGUGCCAGCAGCCGCGGUAAUACGUAGGGUGCAAGCGUUAUCCGGAAUUAUUGGGCGUAAAGGGCUCGUAGGCGGUUCGUCGCGUCCGGUGUGAAAGUCCAUCGCUUAACGGUGGAUUCGCGCCGGGUACGGGCGGGCUUGAGUGCGGUAGGGGAGACUGGAAUUCCCGGUGUAACGGUGGAAUGUGUAGAUAUC